GUCCUGUAAGUGAAACGAGAAGACCACGAGUUAUGAUCCAGAGUACCACGAGACACGUGAAACCUUGUGGGAAGCAGGGAGGACCACCUCCCAAGGCUAAAUACUACCUGAUGACCGAUAGUGAAGCAGUACCGUGAGGGAAAGGUGAAAAGAACCCCGGGAGGGGAGUGAAAUAGAACCUGAAACCGUGUGCCUACAACCGCUCAGAGCCCCUUAUGAGGGUGAUGAGGUGCUUUUUGUAGAACGAGCCAACGAGUUACGGUAUGUAGCAAGGUUAAGUACUUAAGGUACGGAGCCGAAGGGAAACCGAGUCUGAAUAGGGCGACUAGUUGCAUGCCGUAGACCCGAAACCGGGUGACCUAUCCAUGGCCAGGUUGAAGCGAGGGUAAAACCUCGUGGAGGACCGAACCACGUUGCUGUUGAAAAAGCAUGGGAUGAGCUGUGGAUAGCGGAGAAAUUCCAAUCGAACCCGGAGAUAGCUGGUUCUCUCCGAAAUAGCUUUAGGGCUAGCGUCGAGUAUGAGUAGUGGAGGUAGAGCACUGAAUGGGCUAGGGGGCAUAGCGCUUACCGAACCUUAUCAAACUCCGAAUGCCACAUACUUUGAGCUCGGCAGUCAGACUACGAAUGAUAAGAUCCGUGGUCAAAAGGGAAACAGCCCAGAUCGUCAGCUAAGGUCCCAAAGUGUAAGUUAAGUGGGAAAGGAUGUGAGAUUUCUAAGACAACUAGGAUGUUGGCUUAGAAGCAGCCAUUCAUUAAAAGAGUGCGUAAUAGCUCACUAGUCGAGAGAUCUUGCGCCGAAAAUGUAACGGGGCUAAACUUACC
rnacentral:rRNA from 1 species